UUAAGUUAGAAAGGGCGCACGGUGAAUGCCUUGGCACUAGGAGCCGAUGAAGGACGGGACUAACACCGAUAUGCUUCGGGGAGCUGUAAGUGAGCUUUGAUCCGGAGAUUUCCGAAUGGGGAAACCCACUGUUCGUAAUGGAACAGUAUCUUUAUCUGAAUACAUAGGAUAUUGAAGGCAGACCCGGGGAACUGAAACAUCUAAGUACCCGGAGGAAGAGAAAGCAAAUGCGAUUUCCUGAGUAGCGGCGAGCGAAACGGAAUUAGCCCAAACCAAGAGGCUUGCCUCUUGGGGUUGUAGGACACUCUAUACGGAGUUACAAAGGAACGAAGUAAAUGAAGCGACCUGGAAAGGUCCGUCGAAGAAGGUAACAACCCUGUAGUUGAAACUUCGUUCCCUCUUGAGUGGAUCCUGAGUACGGCGGAACACGUGAAAUUCCGUCGGAAGCUGGGAGGACCAUCUCCCAAGGCUAAAUACUACCUAGUGACCGAUAGUGAACCAGUACCGUGAGGGAAAGGUGAAAAGCACCCCGGAAGGGGAGUGAAAGAGAUCCUGAAACCGUGUGCCUACAAGUAGUCAGAGCCCGUUAACGGGUGAUGGCGUGCCUUUUGUAGAAUGAACCGGCGAGUUACGAUCCCAUGCAAGGUUAAGCUGAUAAGGCGGAGCCGUAGCGAAAGCGAGUCUGAAUAGGGCGUUUAGUAUGUGGUUGUAGACCCGAAACCAGGUGAUCUACCCAUGUCCAGGGUGAAGUUCAGGUAACACUGAAUGGAGGCCCGAACCCACGCACGUUGAAAAGUGCGGGGAUGAGGUGUGGGUAGCGGAGAAAUUCCAAUCGAACCUGGAGAUAGCUGGUUCUCUCCGAAAUAGCUUUAGGGCUAGCCUCAUGUUGUGAGAGUCUUGGAGGUAGAGCACUGAUUGGACUAGGGGCCCCCAACGGGUUACCGAAUUCAGUCAAACUCCGAAUGCCAAAGACUUAUCCAUGGGAGUCAGACUGCGAGUGAUAAGAUCCGUAGUCAAAAGGGAAACAGCCCAGACCACCAGCUAAGGUCCCCAAGUAUACGUUAAGUGGAAAAGGAUGUGGAGUUGCUUAGACAACCAGGAUGUUGGCUUAGAAGCAGCCACCAUUUAAAGAGUGCGUAAUAGCUCACUGGUCGAGUGACUCUGCGCCGAAAAUGUACCGGGGCUAAACGUAUCACCGAAGCUGUGGAUUGACAUCUUUGAUGUCAGUGGUAGGAGAGCGUUCUAAGUGCUGUGAAGUCAGACCGUAAGGACUGGUGGAGCGCUUAGAAGUGAGAAUGCCGGUAUGAGUAGCGAAAGACAAGUGAGAAUCUUGUCCACCGAAUGCCUAAGGUUUCCUGAGGAAGGCUCGUCCGCUCAGGGUUAGUCGGGACCUAAGCCGAGGCUGAAAAGCGUAGGCGAUGGCCAACAGGUUGAUAUUCCUGUACCACCUCCCCGCCGUUUGAGUAAUGGGGGGACGCAGUAGGAUAGGGUAAGCGCGCUGCUGGAUAUGCGCGUUCAAGCAGUUAGGCUGAUGAGUAGGCAAAUCCGCUCAUCAUGAAGGCUGAGCUGUGAUGACGAGGGAAUUAUAGUACCGAAGUUCCUGAUUCCACACUGCCAAGAAAAGCCUCUAGCGAGGCGGGAGGUGCCCGUACCGCAAACCGACACAGGUAGGCGAGGAGAGAAUCCUAAGGUGAUCGAGAGAACUCUCGUUAAGGAACUCGGCAAAAUGACCCCGUAACUUCGGGAGAAGGGGUGCUCUGGUAGGGUGUAUAGCCCGAGAGAGCCGCAGUGAAUAGGCCCAGGCGACUGUUUAGCAAAAACACAGGUCUCUGCGAAGCCGCAAGGCGAAGUAUAGGGGCUGACGCCUGCCCGGUGCUGGAAGGUUAAGAGGAGGGGUUAUCCUUUGGGAGAAGCUCUGAAUCGAAGCCCCAGUAAACGGCGGCCGUAACUAUAACGGUCCUAAGGUAGCGAAAUUCCUUGUCGGGUAAGUUCCGACCCGCACGAAAGGCGUAACGAUCUGGGCACUGUCUCAACGAGAGACUCGGUGAAAUUAUAGUACCUGUGAAGAUGCAGGUUACCCGCGACAGGACGGAAAGACCCCGUGGAGCUUUACUGUAGCCUGAUAUUGAAUUUUGGUACAGCUUGUACAGGAUAGGUAGGAGCCUGAGAAGCCGGAGCGCUAGCUUCGGUGGAGGCGUCGGUGGGAUACUACCCUGGCUGUAUUGAAAUUCUAACCCGCGGCCCUGAUCGGGCCGGGAGACAGUGUCAGGUGGGCAGUUUGACUGGGGCGGUCGCCUCCUAAAAUGUAACGGAGGCGCCCAAAGGUUCCCUCAGAAUGGUUGGAAAUCAUUCGUAGAGUGUAAAGGCACAAGGGAGCUUGACUGCGAGACCUACAAGUCGAGCAGGGACGAAAGUCGGGCUUAGUGAUCCGGUGGUUCCGCAUGGAAGGGCCAUCGCUCAACGGAUAAAAGCUACCCCGGGGAUAACAGGCUUAUCUCCCCCAAGAGUCCACAUCGACGGGGAGGUUUGGCACCUCGAUGUCGGCUCAUCGCAUCCUGGGGCUGUAGUCGGUCCCAAGGGUUGGGCUGUUCGCCCAUUAAAGCGGUACGCGAGCUGGGUUCAGAACGUCGUGAGACAGUUCGGUCCCUAUCCGUCGUGGGCGUAGGAAAUUUGAGAGGAGCUGUCCUUAGUACGAGAGGACCGGGAUGGACACACCGCUGGUGUACCAGUUGUCUUGCCAAAGGCAUCGCUGGGUAGCUAUGUGUGGACGGGAUAAGUGCUGAAAGCAUCUAAGCAUGAAGCCCCCCUCAAGAUGAGAUUUCCCAUAGCGCAAGCUAGUAAGAUCCCUGAAAGAUGAUCAGGUUGAUAGGUCAGAGGUGGAAGCGUGGCGACAUGUGUAGCUGACUGAUACUAAUCGAUCGAGGACUUAACCAA
rnacentral:rRNA from 4 species